rnacentral:rRNA from 1 species
UACGGAGGAGGCAAGCGUUAUCCGGAAUGAUUGGGCGUAAAGCGUCCGUAGGUGGUUUUUCCAGUCGGCUGUUAAAGAGCAAAGCUCAACUUUGUAAAGGCAGUGGAAACUGAAAGACUAGAGAGCCGUAGGGGUAGAGGGAAUUCCCGGUGUAGCGGUGAAAUGCGUAGAUAUCUGGAGGAACACCGGUGGCGAAGGCGGCAUCCUGGACCAAUAUUGACGCUGAGGAGCGAAAGCCAGGGGAGCAAACGGG